GGAUCAGAAGAAAUGGACAGCAUCACAAGCCAGCUUUUUCUUUCCUUCCUUCCUGUGUGCCUUGGAAAGCAUCCCUUUUUUACAAUGAAAGAAGCUUCAAGAAUAUGAUGACAACAGUAAAGCAUUUUGAAUCUACUCCAGCCAAGCUAUCUGUCAAUUUGUGUACAGACACACACAUCGAGGACAGAAUAAAUGUAUUUUAUUUUUUUAUAUCUAAAAAUGUGUGCAAGUUGAGUGUGGGCAUGUGAGUUUGUGUAAUUUGUCGAUACAUGUAAUGGGUUUAAGGUCUGAAACUGUUUAACUGUUGCUGUAUGUUUCCUUUGUGUUUAGAAAA